rnacentral:lncRNA from 1 species
AGUUAUCCAACUUCCUCUUAGGAGAGUACAGUGUCAAGGGUGAUAAGCCUCACCUGGCUGAGAGUGAGGUUUGUUUGGGCCCAAUUGUCAUAGCAACAAGGGAAUGUUUGGUAACAGAGUCAGUGACUUCACAGAAGCUGGAUUUAAUUCCACAUUUCUGAAGCUCAGGGAAGAGCAGAGCCAGCCAGGGGAGAAUGUGGAGGCAGAAGAAGACAAUAGUUGCCUUGGAAGAGCUGUGACUACUAGAAAAGUACUGUCCUGUAUCCUGGAGGGACACCAGAUGGAACCAAAAGACCAUGUUAUUUAAGUCAACGAGUCAAAAACUAAAACCUUAAUUUACAACGAAAAAGUUUUUUUAAAAAAUAAACAAUCUAAAUGACUACUUUCCUGAGCCUGU